AACGAACGCUGGCGGCGUGCCUAACACAUGCAAGUCGUGCGAGAAAGUUCCUUCGGGAGCGAGUAAAGCGGCGCACGGGUGAGUAACACGUAGGUAACCUGCCCCCCAGUCUGGAACAACUAGAGGAAACCCUCUAGCUAAUGCCGGAUGAGACCACGAUCCCUUCGGGGGUUGCGGCCAAAGAUGGCCUCUACUUGUAAGCUAUCGCUGAGGGAUGGGCCUGCGGGCCAUUAGCUUGUUGGUGAGGUAACGGCUCACCAAGGCUGUGAUGGCUAGCUGGUCUGAGAGGAUGACCAGCCACACUGGGACUGAGACACGGCCCAGACUCCUACGGGAGGCAGCAGUGGGGAAUAUUGCGCAAUGGGCGAAAGCCUGACGCAGCGACGCCGCGUGGGUGAUGAAGGCCUCGGUC
rnacentral:rRNA from 1 species